AACGAACGCUGGCGGCGUGCUUAACACAUGCAAGUCGAGCGGAAAGGCCACUUCGGUGGUACUCGAGCGGCGAACGGGUGAGUAACACGUGAGUAAUCUGCCCCUCACUCAGGGAUAACCACGGGAAGCUGUGGCUAAUACCUGAUGUGACCACGUCUCGCAUGGGGUGUGGUGGAAAGCUUUAUGUGGUGGGGAUGUGCUCGCGGCCUAUCAGCUUGUUGGUGAGGUAGUGGCUCACCAAGGCUUCGACGGGUAGCCGGCCUGGGAGGGUGACCGGCCACACGGGGACUGAGACACGGCCCAGACGCCUACGGGAGGCAGCAGUGGGGAAUAUUGGACAAUGGGCGAAAGCCUGAUCCAGCAACGCCGCGUGAGGGAUGACGGCCUUCGGGUUGUAAACCUCUUUCACCUCUGACGAAGCGCAAGUGACGGUAAGGGGAGAAGAAGGACCGGCCAACUACGUGCCAGCCGCCGCUGUAACAC
rnacentral:rRNA from 1 species